GGGAUCCAGUAGGUGAGCCCCCAGGACGGCUGGUUGAGAGCCAAAGCCUGAGUGGAGGAGAAUCGGUGAUGAACUGCUGGGCUGCUGGGGAGAAAGACACGCCAAGCUGAACUCGCCGCGCUGGCUGCACGAGUGUGGAAUACGUGAGCACUCAGUUGUCACUGGCCGAGGGACUUAGCAGAUGGAGGCAAGAUGAUGAAAUGCUCUGGGAAGAUCAUUCGGAAGAAAAACUGCGGAAUAGUGUAAAAAGGAAGAUUUGCUGCCUAUGAAACAGGAGACAAGAAGAUGGACCAAGAACCAUGGGGUCUGCUUCUGGGGACACUAACCCCUAACAGCAUCAGAAAUACAUAGUUGAAAUAUGUCUGUAUAUAAAGGGAUAAAGAAGCCAUGGAGGUUGAAGAGAUCUCUUAUAGAGAGAGUAUGAAGUAAGAAGAGAAAAGAGAAAAGAAUCUUCCUUG